rnacentral:rRNA from 1 species
CCUACGGGUGGCUGCAGUGGGGAAUCUUGCGCAAUGGGCGAAAGCCUGACGCAGCGACGCCGCGUGGGGGAGGAAGGCCUUCGGGUUGUAAACCCCUGUUGCCCGGGACGAAUGCCCCUUCUUGGGGAGUGACGGUACCGGGUGAGGAAGCACCGGCUAACUCCGUGCCAGCAGCCGCGGUAAUACGGAGGGUGCAAGCGUUGUCCGGAAUCACUGGGCGUAAAGGGCGCGUAGGUGGUUGCUUAAGCGUGUGGUGAAAGCUCAGGGCUCAACCC